GCUUGUCUCAAAGAUUAAGCCAUGCAUGUCUUAGUGUAAAUAACUCUUAUGAAACUGCGAAUGGCUCAUUAAAUCAGUUAUCGUUUAUUUGAUGGUCCCUUACUACAUGGAUAACCGUAGUAAUUCUAGAGCUAAUACAUGCGCAAAUACCCAACUGCUUGUCGGACGGGUAGCAUUUAUUAGAUUGAAACCAAUGCAGGGCAACCUGGAAUAUGGUGAUUCAUAAUAACUCGCGGAUCGGUUUACCGAUGCAUCAUUCAAGUUUCUGCCCUAUCAGCUUUGGAUGGUAGGGUAUUGGCCUACCAUGGCUUUAACGGGUAACGGAGAAUUAGGGUUCGAUUCCGGAGAGGGAGCCUGAGAAAUGGCUACCACAUCCAAGGAAGGCAGCAGG
rnacentral:rRNA from 1 species